GACGAACGCUGGCGGCGUGCUUAACACAUGCCAGUCGAACGAUGAUGCCAGCUUGCUGGUGGAUUAGUGGCGAACGGGUGAGUAACACGUGAGCAACCUGCCCCUGACUUCGGGAUAACCGCGGGAAACCGUGGCUAAUACCGGAUAUGACGCGCUAUCGCAUGGUGGUGUGUGGAAAGAUUUAUCGGUUGGGGAUGGGCUCGCGGCCUAUCAGCUUGUUGGUGGGGUGAUGGCCUACCAAGGCGACGACGGGUAGCCGGCCUGAGAGGGUGACCGGCCACACUGGGACUGAGACACGGCCCAGACUCCUACGGGAGGCAGCAGUGGGGAAUAUUGCACAAUGGGCGCAAGCCUGAUGCAGCGACGCCGCGUGAGGGAUGACGGCCUUCGGGUUGUAAACCUCUUUCAGUAGGGAAGAAGGCCUUCGGGUUGACGGUACCUGCAGAAGAAGCGCCGGCUAACUACGUG
rnacentral:rRNA from 1 species